rnacentral:rRNA from 1 species
GACGAACGCUGGCGGCGUGCUUAACACAUGCAAGUCGAACGGAAAGGCCCUGCGUUUGCGGGGUGCUCGAGUGGCGAACGGGGGAGUAACACGUGAGGAACCUGCACUUAAAUUUGGGAUAAAAUCAGGGGACUGCGGCUAAUACCGGAUAGAAGCUCCUGCUGCAUGGGGGGGGUUGGAAAGUUUCGGCGGUUGGGGAUGGACUCGCGGCUUAUCAGCUUGUUGGGGGGGUAGUGGCUUACCAAGGCUUUGACGGGUAGCCGGCCUGGGAGGGUGACCGGCCACCAGGGUCCUGCGAGACGGCCCAGACGCCAAUGGGACGCAGCAGUGGGGAAUAUUGCACAAUGGGCGGAAGCCUGAGGCAGCAACCCCGCGUUCGUAAUGACGGCUUUCUGGUUGUAAACCGCUGUCGCCUGUGCCAAAGCGGUCGUGACGGUAACUGGUCAAGAAGCACCGGCUAACUACGUG